rnacentral:rRNA from 1 species
GGUUAAGCGACUAAGCGUACACGGUGGAUGCCCUGGCAGUCAGAGGCGAUGAAGGACGUGCUAAUCUGCGAAAAGCGUCGGUAAGGUGAUAUGAACCGUUACAGCCGGCGAUGUCCGAAUGGGGAAACCCAGUGCAAUUCGUUGCACUAUCGUUAACUGAAUACAUAGGUUAACGAGGCGAACCGGGGGAACUGAAACAUCUAAGUACCCCGAGGAAAAGAAAUCAACCGAGAUUCCCCCAGUAGCGGCGAGCGAACGGGGAGCAGCCCAGAGGCUGAAUCAGCNCGCCGCUCGGUGCUGGUGGACUCCAAGGCCGAUAUGCUAAUGUUCGGCAACGGCGAGCGAACGGGGAGCAGCCCAGAGUCUGAAUCAGCUUGUGUGUUAGUGGAACGGUCUGGAAAGUCCGACGGUACAGGGUGAUAGUCCCGUACACCAAAAUGCACAGGUUGUGAACUCGAAGAGUAGGGCGGGACACGUGGUAUCCUGUCUGAAUAUGGGGGGACCAUCCUCCAAGGCUAAAUACUCCUGACUGACCGAUAGUGAACCAGUACCGUGAGGGAAAGGCGAAAAGAACCCCGGCG